UGCAGUUUUCUAAAGAACUCCACUUUCAGGAGAAGCAGAUCGUCUUCAUUCACACACAGAGACCGACUGAUCUGAGAAAAAUGAACGCUGUUUUUCUGAUCGCUGUCCUUGUCCUGAUGUUUGGAGGGAACUCAGACUCAGCCUACAAUUCUUCUCCUUGUAUGGAGAAUCCUAAUAACAACGCCUACAGCAAUUUUGUUCGCAACCACGUUCUGAAGGAGCAAUUUGACACUUCCUCAAAAGCUCAAUGGACAAAUUACCUGAAAAAAUACAAACUCUGUGACAGACCUCGGCAGUCCUUCGUUGAUAAAGGAGCUGAAAAUCGUUAUGAGGAGAUCUGCAACGGCUCUGGCAGAAAUCAAAGGAUCAACUUGUGCACCAGUACAAGCCCACUUUGGCUGCAUGACCUCAUCGUCAAUACAAAUGAUUGCAGCGUUACUGAUCUUUAUAGCAGAGAUAGAUAUGUGACUGUCGCUUGUGACAAAGUCGACAACCGCUGCCUUCCUGUUCACUUUGAAAGCAGCCAAGUCAAUGGGCCACUCUAUACAAAUCAGAUCUGCAAGCCAUAAACUAAUCUCUGGUUUGAUAUCUGAAUUGUCUUCCAGGUUUGGCAAAUACGCUGUUUUGCUUUGCUAUAUCUCUCCAUAUCCAGCUUUAGUUCAGCUUUUAUCUGCUUUGCUUUAAGUUUAGGUGAGUUUAUUUUAUAAACACAUCAGAGAUACCACAUGAUCGGUGAAAGACAAAGUACAAUUUACAGUUUUUAAAAUAUCAUUGUUGAAAACCUUUGUUGGUGGUUUGAUUUUGAGGCGUUAGAUCUCAAAAACUAAUGUCUUUUUUUAAAAAUCUGGGUGUUUUGGUUGUAAUUUUGAAUUGAGAAGUUGUUCUUUCCUACCUAAUUAGAGUUGCUAUUAAAUUGAAUUAUUAGUCCAAAUGUCCAGAGCAUCAAGUUACCACGACAACCAGCUUUUACAUGGGACAACAUAACUGUAACUUAAAUUUAUCUACAUCUCUGAAUCACAUAGAUCCUAAACAUGGGAAAUACCUUAUAUACUUUUGCAUCCCUGAUAAAUAUAUAUGAAGUAACAAUCAUAACAAUAAAGUUUUAUAUUUUGCAGCCAAAAAACAAAACA